CAAGUCAUCGUCUUCGACGGUGAAAAACCCGCCGAUUGAAUCUUCAGAAGAUACAUCUCCUUCGACUGUGUAGUUGGUAAGAUUUGAAACAACAGGAUGGCAAAGAUUAAUACUGAAGUUUGUACCAAAAUCGUAACCAUUCACUGAAUAAUCGCCCUUUUCAGAGGUGUUAUCUCGAAUGAGGCCAGAUAAAUCAAAGUAUUCACCGGUGUUUGGGUGAUGCAAUGCGCAAAAUGGUUCUUCAUCAGAUUCUUGCACUUUAAAACCCCUUCGGGUAAUUGUUAAACCAAACGCUCUUUGAAAUUGGGAAAAAAGUGUUAGACCCGCCAACACAUUAAUUAGGCAUGUGAGAAGUCUCAUAACGAAUGUUUUGUGAGUAAAUAUAACAACAAUAAGGGUAAUAGAAUUAAUUGUAAGCGAAUAAUGAAGAGAAACCUUCCU